GGCAGCCAAAGGCAGGAAGAGGGCGGCACCAGCCCAGGACUCCGCCCCUCGGGGAGGUAAACUCCAUCAAGAUCCCUAAAGCUGAAGAGGAGAGACAGAUCCUAGACCUGCAGAGGUAAAGAGCAGAUCUCUGCAGCCCAGAUCAAGAUCCUAAAGAAACACUCUGAAGCUCUUCAGGUCUCCCCCAUCUCUCCCUCCACCCCUCUCUCCCCCUCUCUCUCUGUAAUCCCCACUCUCUCUCUCUCAACCCUCUCUCUCUCUCUCUCUUCUCCUCUCUCUCUCUCUCUGUAAUCCCGCCUCUCUCUCUCUCUAAUCCUCUCUCUCUCUCUGUAAUCUCUCUCUCUCUCUAAUCCUCUCUCUCUCUCUCUAAUCCACUCUCUCUCUCUCUCUGUAAUCUCCUCUCUCUCUCCCUCUCUCUGUGUAAUCUCCUCUCUCUCUCUCUAAUCUCCUCUCUCUCUCCUGUAAUCUCCUCUCUCUCUCUCUGUAAUCUCCUCUCUCUCUCUGUAAUCUCCUCUCUCUCUCUCUGUAAUCUCCUCUCUCUCUCUGUAAUCUCCUCUCUCUCUGUGUAAUCUCCUCUCUCUCUCUGUAAUCUCCUCUCUCUCUCGUGUAAUCUCCUCUCUCUCUCUCUGUAAUCUCCUCUCUCUCUCUGUAAUCUCCUCUCUCUCUCUCUGUAUUCUCUCUCUCUCUCUCUGUAAUCUCCUCUCUCUUAUCUUCUCUCUCUCUCCCCCCCUCUCUCUCUCCUCCCUCCUCUCUCAGGCCUUGUAGUCCUGGUCUGAAGCUCCUUGUUCCUGUUAAUCUCCAAAACAUUGUUUGCUCUUUAUCUUUUGUGGAGCAGUUUGUUUUUAAAAGAAAUAUUUCCAAACCGUUUUAAUCUGGUUUUGAUGACAAAAACACGUUUUUGCUAAUUAAAUUCCCCCAGGAUAUCUUGCCUCUUCCUCCUGUCUGCUGGCCUCUUCUUCCUCUGUCCCCUCCUUCCUGUCUCUCUCCCAACUGUGUGUCUAUUUUAUAUAGUUUCAAACACUUUCUUUCUCACACUUGUUAGAGAGAGAUAGAGAGAGAGAGGGGGAGGGAAGGAAGGAAGGAGAGAGAGGGAAGGAAGGGGAGAGGGAGGGAAGGAAGGAAGGGGAGAGGGAGGGAAGGAAGGAAGGGGAGAGAGAGAGGGAAGGAAGGGGAGAGAGAGAGGGAAGAAAGGGGAGAGAGGGAAGGAAGGAAGGAGAGAGGGAAGGAAGGAGAGAGGGAGGAGGGAGGGAAGGAUGGAAGGAGAGGAAGAGAGAGAGAGAGGAGGAAGGAAGGAGAGAGGGAAGGAAGGGGAGAGAGGGAAGGAAGGGGAGAGAGGGAAGGAAGGGGAGAGAGGGAAGGAAGGGGAGAGGGAGGAAGGAAGGGGAGAGAGAGAGGGAAGAAAGGGGAGAGAGGGAAGGAAGGAAGGAGAGAGGGAAGGAAGGGGAGAGGGAGGGAGGAGGGAAGGAAGGAGGAGGGAAGGAAGGAGAGAGAGAGAGGGAGGAGGGAGGGAAGGAUGGAAGGAGAGGAAGAGAGAGAGAGAGAGGAGGGAAGGAAGGAGAGAGGGAGGGAUAUGGGCACUUUUCGGAAAAAGCGGUGUUCAAGCAGGGGUUAACUGAUGAAUAGACAAACAUGACUUAUUAUUUUCCUUUCGAUCUUUUUAGCAGUCAAACAUUGAAAUUAAAAUUUGUAUUGAAAUGUUAAGUCUGUUGGUUAAUUACUUGGAGGAGGAGAGGAGAGGAAGGCUUCAGUGUUACAGCAUCUUCUACACAUUUGGUCUGAGAAGUUCCAUCGGGGCUCCCAGCUGAUCUGUGAUCGCUUGCUCUCCCCUGGCCUUCCAUCCACGUUCCACUUCCUCUUCCUCUUCCUCACGCCUUACGGUCAAUGUUUCUUCUUGCUUGUUUUGAAUAAAGGAAGUCUUUUAAAAAAAAUAAAACAGUUUAGGAGAGAAAAAUAAAAGUACUGCAUUUCUCUUUUCCAAACUUGCCAGUUUCAUUUCUAUAUUUUAGUCGGAAAGCGUUUUUUUUUCCAUUCUGCCUUGAUAAUGAUUCCAGACAUUUUAAUUUUGGUUGUAGAUGUUUCAGGAUGGGUUUUUCACGUGGGCAGAAAUCCCUUUUUAGAUGUAAAGCCAUGCUGUGUUUCUUCA
rnacentral:lncRNA from 1 species